rnacentral:rRNA from 1 species
UUAGUUUUUGAAGUAUGGCCUGCCCGCUGACAUUUGGUGUUGAAGGGCCGCGGUAUUUUGACCGUGCAAAGGUAGCAUAAUCAUUAGUUCUUUAAUUGUGAUCUGGAAUGAAUGGCUUGACGAGGCACGGGCUGUCUUAGUGUUGAAUGUUUUAUUGAAUUUGGUCUUUGAGUUAAAAUUCUUAGAUGUUUUUGUGGGACGAGAAGACCCUAUAGAGUUUGACAUUUGGUUUAUUUACUUGUUUGUUGUUUGUUUAUUUUUGGUGAGUGGACUUUUUGUUUUGUUGGGGUGAUGGGAGGAAUAUACUUAACUCCUCUUAGUUUUGGUUAUAUUGAUUUAUAAUUGUUUGAUCCAUUUAUUUUGAUUGUAAGACUAAAUUACCUUAGGAUAACAGCGUUAUCUUCCUUGAGAGUUCUUAUCGGCAGGGGGGUUUGCGACCUCGAUGUUGGAUUAAG